UGGGGAAUAUUGGACAAUGGGCGAAAGCCUGAUCCAGCCAUGCCGCGUGUGUGAAGAAGGUCUUCGGAUUGUAAAGCACUUUAAGUUGGGAGGAAGGGCAUUAACCUAAUACGUUAGUGUUUUGACGUUACCGACAGAAUAAGCACCGGCUAACUCUGUGCCAGCAGCCGCGGUAAUACAGAGGGUGCAAGCGUUAAUCGGACUUACUGGGCGUAAAGCGCGGGUAGGUGGUUUGUUAAGUGGGAUGUGAAAUCCCCGGGCUCAACCUGGGAACUGCAUUCAAAACUGACUGACUAGAGUAUGGUAGAGGGGGGUGGAAUUUCCUGUGUAGCGGUGAAAUGCGUAGAUAUAGGAAGGAACACCAGUGGCGAAGGCGACCACCUGGACUAAUACUGACACUGAGGUGCGAAAGCGUGGGGAGCAAACA
rnacentral:rRNA from 1 species